rnacentral:rRNA from 1 species
GUAGGAUAGAGGCCUACCGUGGUGGUGACGGGUAACGGGGUGUUAGGGCACGACACCGGAGAGGGAGCCUGAGAAACGGCUACCACAUCCAAGGAUGGCAGCAGGCGCGCAAAUUACCCAAUCCCGACACGGGGAGGUAGUGACAAUAAAUAACAAUACGGGGUUCUUUCGGAUUUCGUAAUUGGAAUGAGUACAAUUUAAAUCUCUUAACGAGGAACAAUUGGAGGGCAAGUCUGGUGCCAGCAGCCGCGGUAAUUCCAGCUCCAAUAGCGUAUAUUAAAGUUGCUGCAGUUAAAAAGCUCGUAGUUGAAUUUCGGGACCAAUAUGUCGGUCGUGCCUCGGUACGUACUGGCAUCGUUGGUUUCUCCCUUCUGACGAACCAUGAUGUCAUUCAUUUGGUGUCGUGGGGAAUCAGGACUGUUACUUUGAAAAAAUUAGAGUGUUUAAAGCAGGCUCACGCUUGAAUACAUUAGCAUGGAAUAAUGAAAUAGGACGUUUGAUUCUAUUUUGUUGGUUUCUAGGAUCGACGUAAUGAUUAAUAGGGAUAGUUGGGGGCAUUAGUAUUCAAUUGUCAGAGGUGAAAUUCUUGGAUUUAUUGAAGACUAACUACUGCGAAAGCAUUUGCCAAGGAUGUUUUCAUUAAUCAAGAACGAAAGUUAGGGGAUCGAAGACGAUCAGAUACCGUCGUAGUCUUAACCAUAAACUAUGCCGACUAGGGAUCGGAUGAUGUUAAUUUUUUAAUGACUCAUUCGGCGCCUUACGGGAAACCAAAGUGUUUGGGUUC